rnacentral:rRNA from 1 species
UACAGAGGUCUCAAGCGUUGUUCGGAUUCAUUGGGCGUAAAGGGUGCGUAGGUGGCGGGGUAAGUCAGAUGUGAAAUCUCGGAGCUCAACUCCGAAACUGCAUUUGAUACUGCCUUGCUUGAGUACUGGAGAGGAGAUUGGAAUUUACGGUGUAGCAGUGAAAUGCGUAGAUAUCGUGAGGAACACCAGAGGCGAAGGCGGCUACCUGGACAAUUGCUGACGCUCGAGGCACGAAAGCGUGGGGAGCAAAAGGG